AGGAGUGACGGUACCGAGAGAAGAAGCCCCGGCUAACUCCGUGCCAGCAGCCGCGGUAAUACGGGGGGGGCAAGCGUUGUUCGGAAUUACUGGGCGUAAAGGGCUCGUAGGUGGCCAACUAAGUCAGACGUGAAAUCCCUCGGCUUAACCGGGGAACUGCAUCUGAUACUGGAUGGCUUGAGUUCGGGAGAGGGAUGCGGAAUUCCAGGUGUAGCGGUGAAAUGCGUAGAUAUCUGGAGGAACACCGGUGGCGAAGGCGGCAUCCUGGACCGACACUGACGCUGAGGAGCGAAAGCCAGGGGAGCAAACGGGAUUAGAUNCCCCGGUAGUCCUGGCCCUAAACGAUGAAUGCUUGGUGUGGCGGGUAUCGAUCCCUGCCGUGCCGAAGCUAACGCGAUAAGCAUUCCGCCUGGGGAGUACGGUCGCAAGGCUGAAACUCAAAGG
rnacentral:rRNA from 1 species